ensembl:lncRNA
CCAGAAGGCACGGAUGAAUUGUUGAGAGCUUUUACGGUCUUAAUUGAUGUAGUCCACAUCUAAUGAUGCAUAUGUUUUGGAAGUCAUCACAAGACAUUCUGCUCAGGAAAGAUGGCAAGCCAGGCAACCCUUGGGGGGCGAUGGGAAUGUAGUGUUUAAACCCCGGCCAAGUUUGUGAUUCAUUACCAAGGUGUAAUGUUCCUUCUGUGUCCCCUCGUCUCAUUUUUUGCUGGAAGUUGACAGUCCUGCUGUAAAACCCUGCACUGUUGUUUGGAAGCAUGUCACCGCUAGGUAACAAAGCUUCUUCCAUAAACUCCCUGAGCAUUCCUUAAUUAACUGAGAGGAGGAUGGAGAGGCACAGAGAAGUGGUAAUCAAAUCCAGAUCUCCCUAGGUUGAGGACUCUUAAAAGAUAUUACAAUGGAAAAGUGAGGCGUCAGUUGUUUGCCGUUCUUUGGAUUCUGAUGAUUUUCCUCGAUUGCAAUAUAAGGACUGUGUAAGCUUAUCGAGAGGGGAGGAACGGAUGUGGAUGAAACAACCAGCUUAAUCAAAAGCCUUCCUCUGUCCUUUCCACCGGUACUUUUUCAUCUUAUUUUUUAUGCCAAACCCGCCAGAGGAGCAAUUAGGCGGGGCAUCCAUUGAACAAAAAACGACAGCAUCAGCCUCUUCCCUUCCCUGAGUCUUCAUCAAAAGAAUUACAUGUUUUGUUUGCUUUUGAAUGCUUGAAGAAACAAUUACCAUGGAGAUAAGAUCUGCAUAAUCCAUAUUUCCUCUAAUCAUAAAGCACACUAUGUGACAUUCCUGCCUAUUUUAAGAAUACUUAUGUAGCCAGGUACACAUUUUUCCACCCAUGGCUUUCUCAAAUCUCACCUUUUCUGGACUUAUUCUGCCCCCUACUGGGUGUGGCGAUUUUAUUUUUUUAAUUAAUUUUAAUUCUAAUUCUCCCAAUAAAGCUUUCAAUAUGCAACCUUGUUUUUAUGUCCUCAUUCAGGGAAGCGUAGCCUCAGAGUGUGCUGCUCACAUUCGUAGUGUCUUUCCCGUGUCAUUU